UUCUAUCGGAGAGUUUGAUCCUGGCUCAGGACGAACGCUGGCGGCGUGCCUAAUACAUGCAAGUCGAGCGGACUUGAC
rnacentral:rRNA from 1 species